GACAGCGGCGACAACCACGUUGUAUGUACCCCUUCCUCCACUGAAGUUAAGCAACGUUGGGCGUGGUUAAUAUCCGGAUGGGUGACCAUCUGGACCAUCGUGUGCUGUUGGCU
rfam:Asian citrus Psyllid, Diaphorina citri - Florida Strain, whole genome shotgun sequence.